AUCGUUCAUCUUUAAAAAGCAACUGAAAAAUUGAUUUUUUCAGUGAGCGAGCUUGUAAAGACGGAAGUAAGGAUAUAUCCCCAAGGAACGCGCC
rnacentral:ncRNA from 2 species